AACCUUAUGGACCUGCGGGCGUAUACCUGCGGAAGGAUCAUUACCAAUUUUUAAUUAUUAGUAUGUGUCACUCGGUCAAACGGGUGUUCACAUCACUACUAAUGUAAACGUUGAACUAGAUCAUUGGUUGUGGAUUGCUUGGGAAUGGAAGAAGCGACAAGCCUCUUCCGGACAGGCAAACCCCACACCGAUAACCUUUUCAUAUAAUUUACUUAUAUAUACUACAAACAACAAACAAAA
rnacentral:misc_RNA from 1 species